GGUUAAGCGACUAAGCGUACACGGUGGAUGCCCUGGCAGUCAGAGGCGAUGAAGGACGUGCUAAUCUGCGAAAAGCGUCGGUAAGGUGAUAUGAACCGUUAUAACCGGCGAUGUCCGAAUGGGGAAACCCAGUGCAAUUCGUUGCACUAUCGUUAACUGAAUACAUAGGUUAACGAGGCGAACCGGGGGAACUGAAACAUCUAAGUACCCCGAGGAAAAGAAAUCAACCGAGAUUCCCCCAGUAGCGGCGAGCGAACGGGGAGCAGCCCAGAGUCUGAAUCAGCUUGUGUGUUAGUGGAACGGUCUGGAAAGUCCGACGGUACAGGGUGAUAGUCCCGUACACCAAAAUGCACAGGCUGUGAACUCGAAGAGUAGGGCGGGACACGUGGUAUCCUGUCUGAAUAUGGGGGGACCAUCCUCCAAGGCUAAAUACUCCUGACUGACCGAUAGUGAACCAGUACCGUGAGGGAAAGGCGAAAAGAACCCCGGCGAGGGGAGUGAAAAAGAACCUGAAACCGUGUACGUACAAGCAGUGGGAGCACCUUCGGGUGUGACUGCGUACCUUUUGUAUAAUGGGUCAGCGACUUAUAUUCUGUAGCAAGGUUAACCGUAUAGGGGAGCCGCAGGGAAACCGAGUCUUAACUGGGCGUUAAGUUGCAGGGUAUAGACCCGAAACCCGGUGAUCUAGCCAUGGGCAGGUUGAAGGUUGGGUAACACUAACUGGAGGACCGAACCGACUAAUGUUGAAAAAUUAGCGGAUGACUUGUGGCUGGGGGUGAAAGGCCAAUCAAACCGGGAGAUAGCUGGUUCUCCCCGAAAGCUAUUUAGGUAGCGCCUCGUGAAUUCAUCUUCGGGGGUAGAGCACUGUUUCGGCUAGGGGGUCAUCCCGACUUACCAACCCGAUGCAAACUACGAAUACCGAAGAAUGUUAUCACGGGAGACACACGGCGGGUGCUAACGUCCGUCGUGAAGAGGGAAACAACCCAGACCGCCAGCUAAGGUCCCAAAGUCAUGGUUAAGUGGGAAACGAUGUGGGAAGGCACAGACAGCCAGGAUGUUGGCUUAGAAGCAGCCAUCAUUUAAAGAAAGCGUAAUAGCUCACUGGUCGAGUCGGCCUGCGCGGAAGAUGUAACGGGGCUAAACCAUGCACCGAAGCUGCGGCAGCGACACUAUGUGUUGUUGGGUAGGGGAGCGUUCUGUAAGCCUGCGAAGGUGUGCUGUGAGGCAUGCUGGAGGUAUCAGAAGUGCGAAUGCUGACAUAAGUAACGAUAAAGCGGGUGAAAAGCCCGCUCGCCGGAAGACCAAGGGUUCCUGUCCAACGUUAAUCGGGGCAGGGUGAGUCGACCCCUAAGGCGAGGCCGAAAGGCGUAGUCGAUGGGAAACAGGUUAAUAUUCCUGUACUUGGUGUUACUGCGAAGGGGGGACGGAGAAGGCUAUGUUAGCCGGGCGACGGUUGUCCCGGUUUAAGCAUGUAGGCUGGUUGUCCAGGCAAAUCCGGAUAAUCAAGGCUGAGGUGUGAUGACGAGGCACUACGGUGCUGAAGUAACAAAUGCCCUGCUUCCAGGAAAAGCCUCUAAGCAUCAGGUAACAU
rnacentral:rRNA from 1 species